AUUGAACGCUGGCGGCAGGCCUAACACAUGCAAGUCGAGCGGAUGAAGGGAGCUUGCUCCUGGAUUCAGCGGCGGACGGGUGAGUAAUGCCUAGGAAUCUGCCUGGUAGUGGGGGAUAACGUCCGGAAACGGGCGCUAAUACCGCAUACGUCCUGAGGGAGAAAGUGGGGGAUCUUCGGACCUCACGCUAUCAGAUGAGCCUAGGUCGGAUUAGCUAGUUGGUGGGGUAAAGGCCUACCAAGGCGACGAUCCGUAACUGGUUUGAGAGGAUGAUCAGUCACACUAGAACUGAGACACGGUCCAGACUCCUACGGGAGGCAGCAGUGGGGAAUAUUGGACAAUGGGCGAAAGCCUGAUCCAGCCAUGCCGCGUGUAUGAAGAAGGUCUUCGGAUUGUAAAGCACUUUAAGUUGGGAGGAAGGGCAGUAAGUUAAUACCUUGCUGUUUUGACGUUACCAACAGAAUAAGCACCGGCUAACUUCGUG
rnacentral:rRNA from 1 species